GAAACAGCAAUAUUUGGACAA
rnacentral:piRNA from 1 species